UUUUUUUAUUUUAUUUUUAUUUUUUUAUUUCCCCAAUACAUCAUUUUUUUUCUACUGUACAGCAUGGUGACCCAGUUACACAUGCAUGCAUACAUUAUUUUUUCUCACAUUAUCAUGCUCCAACAUAAGUGACUAGACAUAGUUCCCAGUGCUACAUAGAAGGAUCUCAUUGCCAAUCAUUUCAAAGGCAAUAGUCUGCAUCUAUUAACCCCAAGCUCCCAAUCUAUCCCAUUGUCAUUACUCUAGGUGGAUCUGAGAAAAUAUUGCUGUGGUUUACGUCAGAGAAUGUCUGGCCUAUGUUUUCCUCUAAGAGUUUUAUAGUAUCUGGUUUUACAUUUAGGUCUUUAAUCCAUUUUGAAUUUAAUUUUGUGUAUGGUGUUAGAGAGUGUUCUAAUUUCAUUCUUUUACAUGUAGCUGUCCAGUUUUCCCAGUGAAAAGCUGAAAGAAUUCCCAAUAAAAUCAGGAACAAGACAAGGAUGUAAGCUCUUGCCACUUCUGUUCAACAUAGUUUUGGAAGUCCUAGCCAUAGCAAUCAGAGAAGAAAAAGGAAUCCAAAUAAGAAAGGAAGAAGUAAAACAAUCAAUGUUUGCAGAUGACAUGGUAUUAUACCUAGAAAACCCUAAAGACACUAUUAGUUAACUGUUAGAGCUCACCAAUGAAUUUGGUAAAGUUGCAGGAUAUAAAAUUAAUGCACAAAAAUUGACUGGAUUUUUCUAUACUAACAAUGAAAAAUCAGAAAAAGAAAUUAGGGAAACAACUCUACUUACUAUGGCAUCAAAAAGAAUAAAAUACCUAGGAAUAAACCUACUUAAAGAGAUGAAAGACCUGUACUCUGAAAGCUCCUAGAUGCUAAUGAAAGAAAUCAAAGAUGACACAAACAUAUUGAAAGAUAUACCAUGCUCUUGGAAUGGAAGAAUCAAUAUUGUCAAAAUGAUUAUAUUACCCAAAGAAAUCUAGAGAUUCAAUUCAAUCGCUAUCAAAUUACCAGUGGCAUUUUUCACAGAAAUAGUACAAAAUAUUGUAAAAUUUCUUUGGUAACACAACAAUCCCUUUAUGUACAAAUUUCCUCAUUAUGUUUACUUAGGGAACAUUCUACUAUAUUGGUAUGUCCUGCCAUGUAGCUAUAUGCUACAUUCAGAAAAUUUAUAUGGACAUGCCAUUUUAAAAUUGAUUUAUUCAUAAUGAAUUAAAUAAAAUUAUUUGAUAAACAUAUAUCUUCCUAUAUUAUGAUUGAAAAACAAACCUGAACUCUCUGGUUAUACUGCUUGGAUUUGAAUGCGACUGUGGACAAAUGUCUUUACUUUUCAAAUGCCUCAUUUUUCACAUUUGUAAAAUCAGAAUAAUAGUAGAAGUAUCUCACAGGACUGCCCAAGAAUAAAAUGUGUAAAAAUACAUAUAAGUCUUAGAACUCAUGUGACAUUGUGCAUGAGGCCUCAGUAGGAAAUCUGUAAAUAUUAGGUUACUACUGCUACUGGUACUACAUUUUAUUAGUCUUAUUUUUGUCUUCCAUUUUUACUUGAGAUUAAAGUUUCUUUUUAAUCAUUCUUUUGAUUAAAAAUUUGCAAUUCACAAUCUGAUAUUAAUACAUAGUUUUAUCCAUCACACAUGGACCUGGAAGGGCAGGGCAAAAUGGGAAAGGACGAUGCCCUAGGAAGAGGGGAGAUAACCACAAAAGAACAAGAAAGGGGUAAUGCAGGUCUCUGUGGAGUACAGUAGAAUGGCCCUAGUUGAAGGGAGCCCAGAAUAAAACAGAAAUAAUGGUCAAGAUAUGGGUGGGUUUAAAAUUAGGUGCAGAAUGGGUUUCACAAUAAAAAAGUUAGUAUUGCAUAACAUUAUAAAAGUUUCAUAAAGAUUGCACUUAGCAUGGAUUAUGUAUGUAUAUGAGGUGUGAAUGCAAAUGCUAUAUGUUAAGUGAGAAAAUCAGGAGGAACAGAUCAUUUGGUUAAAAAGAGGAGGAUUUACAGAUCCUGGGCAGAGACUUUAAAGGAAAUUAAAAGGAGAAGCAAGUCUCUGACAAUUAUAUACAGAUAGACACAAUGAAGGAGGAGUUGGAGAAGUUCCCUGGUGGCUCGGUGGGUUUAGGAUCCUUUGGUGCUGCUGCUAUGUCUCUGGUUACCACUGUGAUGUGUAUUUGAGCCCUGGCCCAAGAAUUCCUGCAUGCUGUGGGUGUGUCCAAAAAAAAAAAAAAAAAAAAAAAAGAUUUUUUAGACAAAAUUUCUGCUUAAAGAUAGCUACUGCCUGAUUUAGUUACUGCUUUGACUAGCAAUUAGAUAAAAACCUUACAUUUUAGUUAAGUAACUUUGUUGACCUAAGGGCUGCUUUACUGACUUCUGUUUAAUAAAGGAGAUAUUAAGAGAGCUACAGGACAAAGGUUUUCUGGAAGGAGACUCCAAGUCCUUGGUGUUGGUCACAACAAAUGCACCCAGAAGGAGACCACUGUCUUAUCACACUCCAUCUAUUUUGUUCAUUUGUAAGCUUUGUCAGUAUCGAAUUUCCUAAAAUUUCUCUUAGCCAAAAUUCAUACUUCUUUUUCUACUUAAAAUUUGUCUAGGACCAUUUCUUCCCUCCGUCCUUCAAGUUAUAAAUUCAAUCUGAAUGUAAUGAAAUGCAGAAUAUAGAUCGUCUCUGGUUCUUUAUUUGAAAACCAUAUCACAGCUGGAAUACGUUUAAGACUAUGAGUCUAUAGUUCUCUGGAAAAGCUGAAAUUUAAAAUUAAACAAGUUAUUUUCAGUUAAACUGUUGAGAAAGUGGCUGCCUGAGAGUGUGUCCCUGGUGCUUUCAUCUCCCAAUUUUAGUAGCCUUUCCUAGGAUGAGCACCAGGUUGGUGACUGGACAGCUCAGAAAAUGUGCAAGGCCAUGCGAUAUGCAGGGAUUCUGGAAAGAAGGACCAAGAACCCAAUUUUGUGCCAUUGUGGGACUGACAGAGACUGGAGGAUCUGUGUCUGACAGGCCAGAGAAUAUCACCAAAAGCCCUAGGUCCCGAAAGAUCUUGGCCUUUGUUGAAAGUAAGUGUAGAGUAAUGUAUGCAGUCCUAGGGGUUGUGGCUGAUGUUUGCAGAAGCCCUUCCACGCAGAUAUAAAGAUGGACAGACUUAUUCUCUAUUCCUAAGGAGAACUUUACCUAAAUAAUCCUUCAUUGCUUUAAGAAAUAGUGAAUGAGCUUGCCAGUUGGUAUACUUAAGAUCACAGAGCAGACAGUGUUAGGCCUCUCACCACUCAAAGGUUAAACAGACAUUUUUAGGCGAGAAAAAUAAAAAUGUAUACAAGGCAUCCCAAUAAUCAGAGAAAGAAAGAGCAAACAGAACCUUGAGACCUGAGAAGUACCUAGUAGACUGGAAUUGCUGGAGGAGAAAGAAAAAAAAAUUAACAAAAUAAAAAUACUCAGCUUUAAAAUAUAUUCUGGAAUUUGGAAAUCUGAUUUUUAAAUUUAGAAAUGGAGAACAAACUAAUGAUUAUCAGUGGGGAGAGGGAAGGGGCACUAUAGGGAAGGUAGAGGAUGGGGUACCAGCUAUUAUGUAUAAAAUCAGGUACAAGGAUACAACAUGGACAAUAUAGCCAAUACUUUAUAAUAACUAAAAAUUUGAUUAAGAUGGUAAAUCUUAAGUCAUGUAUAUCUUACCACAAUAGUUUUGUUGUUGUUGUUGAUGUUGUUUUUAAAUAGAAGAACUGAAAUAAAGUAUGUACUUGUUGAGCCUUCCUGGAACAAAUAUCUCAAAAUAUAGAACAAAUGUACAAAGAGGGAAAUCAUCAGGAAAAACAAACUUGGAAAGUAACACCAAGAGAACUAUCAGGUAAAGACUAUAAUAAUUACAAGAAAAAGAAAAAAAGGGGAAAAAAGACAAAUGGAAGUUAGGAAUAAAAAAAUAACAUAAUUUCCCUGAUUCAAAGAAUUAAGUACAUGAGUGAAAGGGCUCCCUAAGUUCUAGGUAGAUUAAUCAAAGUAAGGCAUACAACUAGACAUAUUUUGCUAAAAUUCCUAU
rnacentral:lncRNA from 1 species